GCUCUACUCUGCCAAGACAGGGUUCAGAUGCUGUGGUCACCUUUACUAUAACACCACCCUGUGGUCAUGCUGUGCUGGGGGGCUGAGAAGAAUCCAUGAACCAGGACAGGAUCAGAGAAAGAUGAUUAAUGGAUCCAGACUUCUAUCUGUGAAUAAUCUGAACAAAAUCGAUCUUUGCAAAGAAAUGCACAUUGGGACUGUGGAAAGUGUGUCGCUGCAGAGCAUUGUGUUCAGGAGUGUGCUGAAGGUCCAUGGGAUGGAGGCCAAAGUGAAAGCUCUGCCUUUCCCUUACAUCCUGGAAAGAGAUGAUCGCUGCAGCUCCCCUAAACUGAUUGCUGGGAAGACCUACUACUUUAACAAAGUUAAUGUUUUCAUUGAUUUCAAUCAUGACUCUGUUCUUCAGUCACUCCAUUUCAUUAUUUCCAAAUGUUCAUCUCAGAUCACCACUAGCUGAUGUACACAUGGUCAGUGUGGAUCUGUUGCUCCCUUCUUUGAACAAGUUCUCCUUUUUUCACAUAUUUACUCACAGUGUUGGCUUUGUCACACAGAAAAUUAAUUAAUUACACAUCACAUUAUACUGGUUAACAUUAUUUUACAAAGCAAUUUGUUACCAUAUUUAUUACAGAGUACUUGUUGCAUUGCAACCUAAUAUACUAACCCCAAAUCGCUCUCUGAUGCACCCAUCACAGUGUGAAUGUUUGCUUGAACUUAAACACAGAAAGAAGUCGUUGUAUGAAUGUGUGAAUGAGGGACGUUGUAUCAAGCGCUUUGAGUGCUCAGGUAGGGUAGAAAAGUGUUAUAUAGAAGAACCUGUCCAUUUAUCAGUAGUAUAUAAUACUUCACAUGAUAUGUUGUUUAUACAUUACUCUGCCUAUGUCCAGCCAAACCAUGUUGCUCUGUUUAACACAUCCCAAGAUGUCUUAUCACAGACAGAAUUUAGGUACUUUAAGUAAAGAAAACAAAAAACAGUGUAGCUUUUAACUUCAGUUUUACAGGGAUUCACAUUGUAGUGAUUCACACAACUUGACAUUAAUCAGUACUGUAACACAGCAAGCUGGUGCACAGUGUUGUUGCUGAAAUCUAAAUUUGAACAAAAUCUAAAUGUAACUUUGAUUCUUGCACUGAUCUAAAAUACACAUGACAACUGUGUGCACAUGUCCUUGAACCAUACAAUUCAAUACUUGUGGUAAAGUCCAUGAUUUACUGUGAUUGUUAAUUCUAAUGAAUGAUAAACACUUAGUGCCAAUAUCAUGAAUACAAAUAUGUUAGAAGGACCCACUAAAAAUUCCAUUAGUUUCUGUUUCUUUGAAUGUGAUUCAUGUAAAAUAUUUGUGGUAAUGGUAAGGAUAGGUAUGGGAAUUUAAGAAUGGUAAGGAAUUUAGUAAGGAUUUGAGGGACAUUUAAGGUAUAAGGAAACAUAAACACUGCCUGUUUGAUUUAGUGACUUUGUUGUUAAUAUAAUUGUUGUUGUUAAUAUAUUUCAUAUAUAUAUUGUAAAUGUUUAAUAUUUGAAUGGACCUAUUAUCCUUUAAGGAUUCAAAUAAAUAAAUACAAACACUAAUUAAACCUGCUGUGUUUUCUCUUGUAUUCAAAUAGCUUCCCGAUACUAAAAA